AUUGAACGCUGGCGGCAUGCCUUACACAUGCAAGUCGAACGGCAGCGGGGGAGAAGCUUGCUUUUCCUGCCGGCGAGUGGCGAACGGGUGAGUAAUACAUCGGAACGUGCCCUGUAGUGGGGGAUAACUAGUCGAAAGAUUAGCUAAUACCGCAUACGACCUGAGGGUGAAAGUGGGGGACCGCAAGGCCUCAUGCUAUAGGAGCGGCCGAUGUCUGAUUAGCUAGUUGGUGGGGUAAAGGCCUACCAAGGCGACGAUCAGUAGCUGGUCUGAGAGGACGAUCAGCCACACUGGGACUGAGACACGGCCCAGACUCCUACGGGAGGCAGCAGUGGGGAAUUUUGGACAAUGGGCGAAAGCCUGAUUCAGCAAUGCCGCGUGUGUGAAGAAGGCCUUCGGGUUGUAAAGCACUUUUGUCCGGAAAGAAAUGGCUCUGGUUAAUACCUGGGGUCGAUGACGGUACCGGAAGAAUAAGGACCGGCUAACUACGUGCCAGCCGCCGCGGUAAUAC
rnacentral:rRNA from 1 species